GACGAACGCUGGCGGCGUGCUUAACACAUGCAAGUCGAGCGGAAAGGCCCUUCGGGGUACUCGAGCGGCGAACGGGUGAGUAACACGUGAGCAACCUGCCCUAGGCUUUGGGAUAACCCCGGGAAACCGGGGCCAAUACCGAAUAGGACCUGGCCUCGCAUGAGGCUGGGUGGAAAGUUUUUCGGCCUGGGAUGGGCUCGCGGCCUAUCAGCUUGUUGGUGGGGUGAUGGCCCACCAAGGCGACGACGGGUAGCCGGCCUGAGAGGGCGACCGGCCACACUGGGACUGAGACACGGCCCAGACUCCUACGGGAGGCAGCAGUGGGGAAUAUUGCACAAUGGGCGGAAGCCUGAUGCAGCGACGCCGCGUGAGGGAUGACGGCCUUCGGGUUGUAAACCUCUUUCAGCAGGGACGAAGCGUAAGUGACGGUACCUGCAGAAGAAGCGCCGGCCAACUACGUGCCAGCAGCCGCGGUAAUAC
rnacentral:rRNA from 1 species